rnacentral:rRNA from 1 species
UUGGAGGGCAAGUCUGGUGCCAGCAGCCGCGGUAAUUCCGGCUCCAAUAGCGUAUAUUAAAGUUGUUGUGGUUAAAAACGCUCGUAGUUGAACCUUGGGCCUGGCUGGCCGGUCCGCCUCACCGCGUGUACUGGUCCGGCCGGGUCUUUCCCUCUGUGGAACCCCUAUGCCCUUCACUGGGUGUAGCGGGGAAACAGGACUUUUACUUUGAAAAACUUAGAGUGCUCCAGGCAGGCCUAUGCUCGAAUACAUUAGCAUGGAAUAAUAGAAUAGGACGUGUGGUU